GACGAACGCUGGCGGCGUGCUUAACACAUGCAAGUCGAACGGAAAGGCCCUGCUUUUGUGGGGUGCUCGAGUGGCGAACGGGUGAGUAACACGUGAGUAACCUGCCCUUGACUUUGGGAUAACUUCAGGAAACUGGGGCUAAUACCGGAUAGGAGCUCCUGCUGCAUGGUGGGGGUUGGAAAGUUUCGGCGGUUGGGGAUGGACUCGCGGCUUAUCAGCUUGUUGGUGGGGUAGUGGCUUACCAAGGCUUUGACGGGUAGCCGGCCUGAGAGGGUGACCGGCCACAUUGGGACUGAGAUACGGCCCAGACUCCUACGGGAGGCAGCAGUGGGGAAUAUUGCACAAUGGGCGGAAGCCUGAUGCAGCAACGCCGCGUGCGGGAUGACGGCCUUCGGGUUGUAAACCGCUUUCGCCUGUGACGAAGCGUGAGUGACGGUAAUGGGUAAAGAAGCACCGGCUAACUACGUGCCAGCAGCCGCGGUGAUACGUAGGGUGCGAGCGUUGUCCGGAUUUAUUGGGCGUAAAGGGCUCGUAGGUGGUCGAUCGCGUCGGAAGUGUAAUCUUGGGGCUUAACCCUGAGCGUGCUUUCGAUACGGGUUGACUUGAGGAAGGUAGGGGAGAAUGGAAUUCCUGGUGGAGCGGUGGAAUGCGCAGAUAUCAGGAGGAACACCAGUGGCGAAGGCGGUUCUCUGGGCCUUUCCUGACGCUGAGGAGCGAAAGCGUGGGGAGCGAACAGGCUUAGAUACCCUGGUAGUCCACGCUGUAAACGGUGGGUACUAGGUGUGGGGUCCAUUCCACGGGUUCCGUGCCGUAGCUAACGCUUUAAGUACCCCGCCUGGGGAGUACGGCCGCAAGGCUAAAACUCAAAGGAAUUGACGGGGCCCCGCACAAGCGGCGGAGCAUGCGGAUUAAUUCGAUGCAACGCGUAGAACCUUACCUGGGUUUGACAUGGAUCGGGAGUGCUCAGAGAUGGGUGUGCCUCUUUUGGGGUCGGUUCACAGGUGGUGCAUGGCUGUCGUCAGCUCGUGUCGUGAGAUGUUGGGUUAAGUCCCGCAACGAGCGCAACCCUUGUUCACUGUUGCCAGCACGUUAUGGUGGGGACUCAGUGGAGACCGCCGGGGUCAACUCGGAGGAAGGUGGGGAUGACGUCAAGUCACCAUGCCCCUUAUGUCCAGGGCUUCACGCAUGCUACAAUGGCUGGUACAGAGAGUGGCGAGCCUGUGAGGGUGAGCGAAUCUCGGAAAGCCGGUCUCAGUUCGGAUUGGGGUCUGCAACUCGACCUCAUGAAGUCGGAGUCGCUAGUAAUCGCAGAUCAGCAACGCUGCGGUGAAUACGUUCCCGGG
rnacentral:rRNA from 1 species